GGUCCCAGUCUCGAACUGGUGUCACUGGGAGAGCCCCAGUCCCAAACUGGGAGGGUCUGAGGUUCAAACUGGGAGCACUGGGAGGGUCCCAGUCCCAAACUGGGAGGGUCCAAGGCUCAAACUGGGAGCACUGGGAGGGUCCCAGUCCCAAACUGGGAGCACUGGGAAGGUCUCAGUCCCAAACUGGGAGCGUCCCAGUCCCAAACUGGGAGCACUGGAGGGUCCCAAUCCCAGACUGGGAGCACUGGGAGGGUCCCAGUCCCAGACUGGUGUCACUGGGGUGUCACUGGGAGGGUCCCAGUCUCAAACUGGGAGGGUGCCAGGUUCAAACUGGGAGCACUGGGAGGGUUCCAGUCCCAAACUGGGAGGGUCCAAGGUUCAAACUGGGAGAGUCCCAGUCCCAGACUGGUGUCACAGGGGUGUCACUGGUGUCACUGGUCCGUUACUGGUGUCACUGGUGCUGUCCCUGGCUCUGUCCAUGGCUCUGUUACUGGUGUUACUGGUGUCACUGGUGUCACUGGUGCCGUUACUGGUGUCACUGAUGUGUCACUGGUGUCCCUGUCCCUGUCCCUGCUGUCCCUGUCCCUGUCCCUGCUGUCCCUGGUGUCACUGGUGUUACUGGUGUUACUGGUGCCGUUACUGGUGUCACUGGUGUCACUGGUCCGUUACUGGUGUCACUGGUGUGUCACUGGUGUUACUGGUGCUGUCCCUGUCCCUGUCCCUGGCCGAGCCGCGCGGCCUCGCUGCGGAUCAGCGCGAUCAGUUCGUGGUUGAUGAGGAACACGAAGCGCAGGCUGGCGAUCUGGGGGGGCACGGCC
rnacentral:lncRNA from 1 species